GGUUUCCACGGUAAAAAUCUUGUGUAUUUCUUGGUUAAUGGGUUUGUUUCUUUUUAUAUCUUGAAUCUUACAAUAUUGCACAAAGUCGUGAUAUUCAUUUAAUAUUGUAGUUUUUAGAUCAUUGGGUAAAACAUAGACAAAUGUUAGGUUUUCUAAAUGUCAAUUACACAAAUAGAUACACAGUAUUAUUAUACAUAGAGGGAGCAAUAGCCCACAAGUAGAAGUUUCAGUUUCACCACACCCAUAUUAUUAACAGAUGGAAAUAUAUAUUUAUUCUUGAGAGGUACACACUGAUCACACAUCUACUGCUCCAUACCAAGUAAGCCAGAUAAUGGCAUUUAUAUCUCCAUUAUAUCACUUGAGAUGGUGGGUCUCAAUGUCUUUUGUGAUCUCAAUACAGAGGUCCAUCAAUUUGUUUGGCUCUUCAACAUCUUCUUUCGGCUUUUCAUAGUGAAAGUUCCAUGUCACCGAGGUGUUUUCCCCUUUUGUGUCCACAUGAACAACAAUCAUAAAGGUCUUGUACAGAUCCAUAAGAUCUCCUUCAACAACCUUGAAUGUCACGGACUUGGUUUCUUCUUCAGUUCUUCUAUUGCUUCAACAAUUUCCUUAGCAGCCUUCUCCUUUCUAUCUGUGGUUUUCAUCACAUUAAAUGCAACUUCUUAAGUCAAGCUAGUCAAGGCGUAUCCACAAUUUUAAUUUUGGGGAGCUGAAUAUAUAUAUAAAACACAUAAUUUGUAAAUUACACAUGUAAUAUAUUGGACCUAGAAUUUCUCUCCUAGGUGCUUUCAAUUGCUUGUAAUAAAACAUAAUAUUUUUAUGUAAUUUUUAUAUAUUUUAUAUUUUGAGUAUUUGUCUGUGAAUCCAACCCUAUAGUUGUAAUUUAAAGAAAUUCUGAAACUACGAGGACAAAAGUGCAAUUUUGUACUAGAGGAGGUUAAGAAGACUAUAAAUACAUGAGGGAGGCAACCCUAAUUGGGAGUAAGAGCCAACAAUAUUGUUUAUCCAUGCUCUUUGUGUACUUGAGAGAUUUUUAGAGAAAUCAUUGAGCUUCAUCUUUUCUCUUAAGGUGUGUUUAUCAUAAACUCAUCAAAUCAAGAUUUAAAUCCUUUGGACAUACUCAAAGGCGGAUAGAUUUAAGUUCAAUUCAUAGAUGAUUGUUGAUGAUUCAAUACUCAACCAUUAACUGAAGCGUAGAUCGUGGACUCAGUCAGUACUAGGAUCACAUUCACAUGUUCGAGGAUUUGACACCUAAGGCGCGUGAAUUUAGUUAGAUUGAGUUUGUAAGUUAUAACUUAUAUUUUGCAUAGUGGAUUAGUUGAUCGUACUUAGUUCCAGAUUUUUUUUUCUACUUUGAGAUUUUGCACGUAAAAAAUUGCUUGUUUUUGUGUGUGCUUGAUUUUAUAUUUAUUUGAGGUUUUUAUUUGUUUGGUUAAAUAGCUUCGCAAAUUCAUAAAACGAAUAAAACUAUAUUUUUAAUUUUACAAUUGGUAUCAGAGCGGGUCACUCAAAAUAAAAUAUUUUUUUAUUUUUUUUCAGAGUAUGGUCUGAUUGAUUUGUUUCUAUGUAUAAAUUUGAUCGUAAGAAGCUUGACAAUAUUCAACAAGCCUAUGAUAACUUUGUAAGGAGUCUUAUGAGAAGAACAAAAUUUAUGAAAAAUGUAAUGCAAAAGUGGAAUCACUUAAGAAGUCUUAAGAGAUGAAUAUAAAUAAGAGCUAAUUGAAGCUCAAGCUACCGUGGGUGAAUUGAAUCGUAUAAUGCUACUUUGUCUAAAAAAAAAAUUAUUAUUGAAAAAGAGAAAAAAUAAAUAUUUGAUAAGUUGAAUUUACUUUUUGAAAAACAUUUAAAACCUGACAAAGAUAUGCAUUUGUGUCUUGAGUCAAAAGAUAAUCUUGAGGAAAAAGUGGGUAAAUUAGAAUUUGAUCUUAGUGCUUCUAAUGCUACUCUCGAGAAGUUUAAUGCAGAUUCAAAGGUUUUGGAUGAAAUUAUUUGCGUGCAAAAAUUUUCUUCUGACAAGAGAGGACUUGGAUAUGUUGAUAAGCCUUCAUCUUCUUCCAAAUCGGGGAACAUGGAUAUUUUUGUGAACCCUAAAAAAUGUGGUUCCAAUCUUUCCAAGGCCAACCAAACAAAGGGAUCUCCUAAGAAAACCGUCACAAAUGUAUAGGUAAAAUCAUCUAAUUUUAAUCUUGUUUGCCAUCAGUGUAGUGUCCAUGGUCAUAUUAGGCAUUUAUUGAUUUAAUGAUUGUUUUGAUGAUAUUUGAUGAUGUCAAGGUUUCAUCAUGUAUGGUCUUAAUAUUGAUAUAUGCACAAAAUGUAUAUAUAUAUAUAUAUAUAUAUAUAUAUUAUUUAUCAUAUUAAUACAUAUAUAUUAGAUUCAUGGUAUGAUUAUGCGUAUUCUACAUUAGUAUUUUUCAUUCUAUUAGUAUUAUACACCUUCAAAGUUCAGUCGAUCAAAAUUGCAACUGAAACAAAGUUUGAUUGACUGAAGUUGACUUUUGGUCGGCCGAACUUUCGACCAAAAUUUAAAAUUUUCAAUCCUAACAGUCCAAAUCAAGUUCCAACGGCCCAAAUUAAAUUCUAAUUACUCUAUUACUAUUUCAACAAGUAGAUUUGCUAAGAUGGCUAUAAAUACAACCCUUAACUAGAUGCAAAUUAUGAUGGGAUGAAAUAGGUUUGAUAGGAUUAAUGACCAAUUAAAAUUCUUGUUAAAACUUAUACUAGCAAUGCACUCUCAAUUUAAGCAAAUAUAUAUAAACAACUUAAAAGAGGGGAGAGAAAAUAGUGCAAACGAUUUAUAAUGGUUCAACAAAUCUCAGCCUACGUCCACUCUCCAAACUUCUCAUUGGAAAUUCAUUAUCUUCAAAUUUGUGAGUGCUUGAAAAUCUUUAUAAAUACUAGAACCUUUUAGUCGUCAAGAGAGUCCCUCUCUUAGGAAUUUUACAAUUACUUAUAGUGAUCCUUUCAACAAGAUACAAUAGUUGAAGUGAUUCUUACUUACCAACUCUAGAUCAAGGAUAAAUACAAUCAUAUCUAGAAUGAUCUUGCUCACUUUGAUUUUUGGCAAAUCAAACUCACAAUAAAUGAACAAAUGAUUGAAGUAUUGAAUACAAAUGUUAUUAGGAUUUUAUGGCACUUCAAUACCCUUCCAACAAACCCAAGGAUUGAAUUAUAAGCCAAAAGUUAAAUAGAGUCAUUGCAGCAUGUAAUGCAUCUGAUUAAGCCAUUCUGAUUGAAUCUCAGCCGUUGGAUCUUGAUUUGGACUGCAGGAUUAAAAUGUUCAAACUUCGGUUGACCAAACUUUAAUUAUGGUCGAAAUUGCACUGAGAUUUCAGAGAUUAACUUUUCUUGUUUACUGAAGGGUUGGGGAACUUCGGUCGAGGUUUUGUAACUUUCGAUCGAACGAAUGUCAACUUCGGUUGACAUUGCUCUACAAUUUCAGUAAGCUCUUUAAUCUCUAAUUUGGCUCUUAACUGAUUUCGAUUGAUCGAAUCUUAACUUUGAUCGACUGAACCUUACCUUUAGUUAAGGUUGUACUAAAUUUUCAAUGAGCUCUUGGUUCCUCUAUUUUCACUUCAGCUAUGCUUUCUUAACUUCGGUCGACCAAUUGUGGACUUUGGUUGUAGUUGCUUUGUGUCUCCAGUGAGCUAGUCUGUCAAUGGAUUGGGCUUCCAUUUCACUUUGGUUGAGGGCCUUAAGCUUUGGUCGAUCGAAAUUGUGACGGUAACAACUUUUGUGUUGUUUCUUUUAUAGUUCAAAAUCGUCAAUUAUCCAUUUUGAGUUUAAAUGUUAAUUUGACUCUUCUAUCACUUUCAUGUGUAUAAUUACAUUGAAUAUAACUUGUGAAGAGUUAUGAAUCUCACUUUAAACAUGUGUAGCCUUAACUUUAAUAGCACUAUUGUUUUUCUUCAAGGAUGUGAAUUAGUCGAUUUAGUUCUUUCCAUUCUAAGUCAUUUUAUCAAUCUGUGUUAUCUAGAAAGCAUUAUACUAGGGGGAUGAAAUAUGUUUGCUAAGAUUUGAUGGCCAAUUAAAAUUUUUUCUUAAUAACUUACUCAAAUAAUGAACUUCUAGAUUUAACAAGUAUAUAAGCAAUGUAAAAAGGAGAGAAGAGAAAGAAGAUGCAAACGAUUUAUAGUAGUUCGGCAAAUCUUGGUUUACGUCCACUUUCUAAGUUUCUUCUUGAAAAUUCACUAAGUUUAAGCUUACGAGUGCUUGACAACCUUUACAACUACUAGAACUCUUCUAGUAUUCAAGAGAUUUAUUUUCUUGGAAAUUUUCAAUCACUAAAAGUGAUUUUCUCAAUAAGAUACAAUAGUUUAAAGUAACUAUUUACUCACACAUUCCAGAUUGAUAAUAAAUACAAUGAAGCUCUCUUGUUUAGAUUGAUCUAACUUUCUUGAUCUCAAUCAAGCUGACAAUGAAUGAUCAAGGGAUUGAAGUAAUGAAUACAAAUAAAUGUAAAGAUUAAAAGCAAUUCAAUACUUCUCCAACAACCUCCACAUAUGGUUGAAUUUAUAAGCUCAAAAUAAAUUAUAGUCGUUGUAGCAUUAAAUGCACCUAAUCUAGCCGUUUUGAUUUAAUCACAACCGUUGCAUCUUUGAUUUGAAUGUGCAAGAUCAAACUUUUAAACUUCGGUCAUAAACUUCGGUCGUCAAUGAUCGAAAAUUCCAAAGACUUUCAUUCCUUGUCUGCUAAGAGUUUUAUAACUUCGAUCGUGGCCUGUUUCACUUUCAGUCAACCAAACUUGAACUUUGAUCGUGUUUGAACUAGAAUUCUAGUCAGCAUUUCUGUUGCUCUAUUUUCUAUUUGAACUUCAGCUGAGCCCUCUAUACUUCAGUCAUGCCCUUCUGAACUUCGAUCGACUGAAUAUAAACUUCGAUCGUAAAUGAACUAAGGUUCCAGAAGCAAGUCUAUUUAGAACCUUUGAUUUUUAUGGCAUUCGAAUGACCUUUAUAUAGGUUCGGUCGUGACUUUCAUACUUCGGUCAAUCAAACCUGAAGUUCGGU
rnacentral:lncRNA from 1 species